GCGGCAGGCCUAAUACAUGCAAGUCGAGCGGAAACGAUGGGAGCUUGCUCUCAGGCGUCGAGCGGCGGACGGGUGAGUAACGCGUAGGAAUCUACCCAGUAGCGGGGGAUAGCCCGAGGAAACUCGGAUUAUACCGCAUACGCCCCACGGGGGAAAGGCCGGGAUCUUCGGACCGGUCACUAUUGGAGGAGCCUGCGUAGGAUUAGCUUGUUGGUGAGGUAAAGGCUCACCAAGGCUACGAUCCUUAGCUGGUCUGAGGGGACCAUCAGCCACACUGGAACUGAGACACGGUCCAGACUCCUACGGGAGGCAGCAGUAGGGAAUAUUGUGCAAUGGGCGAAAGCCUGACACAGCCAUGCCGCGUGUGUGAAGAAGGCCCUAGGGUUGUAAAGCACUUUCAGUAGGGAGGAAUUAGUAGGGUUAAUAGCUCUGCGAAAUGACGUUACCUACAGAAGAAGCACCGGC
rnacentral:rRNA from 1 species